UGGGGCGUGCUAUACAUGCAGUCGAGCGAAUCUGAGGGAGCUUGCUCCCAAAGAUUAGCGGCGGACGGGUGAGUAACACGUGGGCAACCUGCCUGUAAGACUGGGAUAACUCCGGGAAACCGGGGCUAAUACCGGAUAAUAUCUAUUUAUACAUAUAAUUAGAUUGAAAGAUGGUUCUGCUAUCACUUACAGAUGGGCCCGCGGCGCAUUAGCUAGUUGGUGAGGUAACGGCUCACCAAGGCGACGAUGCGUAGCCGACCUGAGAGGGUGAUCGGCCACACUGGGACUGAGACACGGCCCAGACUCCUACGGGAGGCAGCAGUAGGGAAUCUUCCGCAAUGGACGAAAGUCUGACGGAGCAACGCCGCGUGAGUGAUGAAGGUUUUCGGAUCGUAAAACUCUGUUGUUAGGGAAGAACAAGUACCGGAGUAACUGCCGGUACCUUGACGGUACCUAACCAGAAAGCCACGGCUAACUACGUGCCAGCAGCCGCGGUAAUACGUAGGUGGCAAGCGUUGUCCGGAAUUAUUGGGCGUAAAGCGCGCGCAGGCGGUUCCUUAAGUCUGAUGUGAAAGCCCACGGCUCAACCGUGGAGGGUCAUUGGAAACUGGGGAACUUGAGUGCAGAAAAGGAAAGUGGAAUUCCAAGUGUAGCGGUGAAAUGCGUAGAGAUUUGGAGGAACACCAGUGGCGAAGGCGACUUUCUGGUCUGUAACUGACGCUGAGGCGCGAAAGCGUGGGGAGCAAACAGGAUUAGAUACCCUGGUAGUCCACGCCGUAAACGAUGAGUGCUAAGUGUUAGAGGGUUUCCGCCCUUUAGUGCUGCAGCAAACGCAUUAAGCACUCCGCCUGGGGAGUACGACCGCAAGGUUGAAACUCAAAGGAAUUGACGGGGGCCCCCACAAGCGGUGGAACAUGUGGUUUUAUUUCGAAGCAACGCGGAGAAACUUUACCAGGUGUUGGGGUCCUCCGGAAAAUCCUAAAAAAAAGGACUUUUCCCC
rnacentral:rRNA from 2 species